rnacentral:rRNA from 1 species
CAGCAGCCGCGGUAAUACGUAGGUGGCAAGCGUUGUCCGGAGUUAUUGGGCGUAAAGAGGUCUCAGGGCGGUUUCUUAAGUCUGAUGUGAAAGCCCCCGGCUCAACCCGGGGAGGGUCAUUGGAAACUGGGGAACUUGAGUGCAGAAGAGGAGAGUGGAAUUCCACGUGUAGCGGUGAAAUGCGUAGAGAUGUGGAGGGACACCAGUGGCGAAGGCGACUCUCUGGUCUGUAACUGACGCUGAGGAGCGAAAGCGUGGGGAGCGAACAGGAUUAGAUACCCUGGUAGUCCACCCCGUAAACGAUGAGUGCUAAGUUGUUGGGGGGUUCCGCCCCUUAGUGCUGCAGCUAACGCAUUAAGCACUCCGCCUGGGGAGUACGGUCGCAAGACUGAAACUCAAA